rnacentral:rRNA from 1 species
CCUACGGGAGGCAGCAGUGGGGAAUAUUGCACAAUGGGCGGAAGCCUGAUGCAGCAACGCCGCGUGCGGGAUGACGGCCUUCGGGUUGUAAACCGCUUUCGCCUGUGACGAAGCGUGAGUGACGGUAAUGGGUAAAGAAGCACCGGCUAACUACGUGCCAGCAGCCGCGGUGAUACGUAGGGUGCGAGCGUUGUCCGGAUUUAUUGGGCGUAAAGGGCUCGUAGGUGGUUGAUCGCGUCGGAAGUGUAAUCUUGGGGCUUAACCCUGAGCGUGCUUUCGAUACGGGUUGACUUGAGGAAGGUAGGGGAGAAUGGAAUUCCUGGUGGAGCGGUGGAAUGCGCAGAUAUCAGGAGGAACACCAGUGGCGAAGGCGGUUCUCUGGGCCUUUCCUGACGCUGAGGAGCGAAAGCGUGGGGAGCGAACAGGCUUAGAUACCCUGGUAGUCCACGCUGUAAACGGUGGGUACUAGGUGUGGGGUCCAUUCCACGGGUUCCGUGCCGUAGCUAACGCUUAAGUACCCGCCUGGGAGUACGGCCGCAAGGCGUAAAACUCAAACGGAAUUGACGG